GAGUUUGAUCUUGGCUCAGAGCGAACGCUGGCGGCAGGCCUAACACAUGCAAGUCGAACGAACUCUUCGGAGUUAGUGGCGGACGGGUGAGUAACACGUGGGAACGUGCCUUUUGGUUCGGAAUAACUCAGGGAAACUUGUGCUAAUACCGAAUGUGCCCUUCGGGGAAGGAUUAUCGCCAUUAGAGCGGCCGCGUCUGAUUAGCUAGUUGGUGAGGUAAAGGCUCACCAAGGCGACGAUCAGUAGCUGGUCUGAGAGGAUGAUCAGCCACAUUGGGACUGAGACACGGCCCAAACUCCUACGGGAGGCAGCAGUGGGGAAUCUUGCGCAAUGGGCGAAAGCCUGACGCAGCCAUGCCGCGUGAAUGAUGAAGGUC
rnacentral:rRNA from 1 species